rnacentral:rRNA from 1 species
GACGUAGGGCGCAAGCGUUGUCCGGAAUUACUGGGCGUAAAGCGCACGUAGGCGGUCUUUUAAGUCGGGGGUGAAAUCCUGGAGCUCAACUCCAGAACUGCCUUCGAUACCUGGAAGACUUGAGUCCGGGAGAGGUGAGUGGAACUGCGAGUGUAGAGGUGAAAUUCGUAGAUAUUCGCAAGAACACCAGUGGCGAAGGCGGCUCACUGGCCCGAUACUGACGCUGAGGUGCGAAAGCGUGGGGAGCAAACAGG